rnacentral:lncRNA from 1 species
AAGUAAAACUACUCGAAUUGUACCUUAAAUGCUUGCAUAGUGUAUCAAAUGUCUCUGUUUUGUGUCGGAUCAGUAAUGAAAACUUACUAUAAAUGGUGACUGAUCACAACCCCAAACUUAGCUCAUUGCUUGUCCCAAGUAAUAUUUCAUUAUCACUCCCCAGAAUUCUUUAUGCCUUCCACCACUGCUGAGAUCAUUUACG